UACGUAGGUGGCAAGCGUUAUCCGGAAUUAUUGGGCGUAAAGCGCGCGUAGGCGGUUUCUUAAGUCUGAUGUGAAAGCCCACGGCUCAACCGUGGAGGGUCAUUGGAAACUGGGAAACUUGAGUGCAGAAGAGGAAAGUGGAAUUCCAUGUGUAGCGGUGAAAUGCGCAGAGAUAUGGAGGAACACCAGUGGCGAAGGCGACUUUCUGGUCUGUAACUGACGCUGAUGGGCGAAAGCGUGGGGAUCAAACAGG
rnacentral:rRNA from 1 species